UACGUAUGGUGCAAGCGUUAUCCGGAUUUACUGGGUGUAAAGGGAGCGCAGGCGGCACGGCAAGCCUGAUGUGAAAGCCCGCGGCCCAACCGCGGGACUGCAUUGGGAACUACCGGGCUGGAGUGCCGGAGAGGUAGGCGGAAUUCCUAGUGUAGCGGUGAAAUGCGUAGAUAUUAGGAGGAACACCAGUGGCGAGGGCGGCCUACUGGACGGUGACUGACGCUGAGGCUCGAAAGCGUGGGGAGCAAACAGG
rnacentral:rRNA from 1 species